GAAGUACUUCCUCUGUUCGGAAUUACUUGUCGUAGAAAUGAAUGUAUCUAGACAUUUUUUAGUUCUAGAUACAUCCAUUUUUGCACAAGUAAUUCGGGACGGAGGGAGUAACUU
rfam:Triticum aestivum genome assembly, contig: Triticum_aestivum_CS42_TGACv1_scaffold_329740_4BS